rnacentral:rRNA from 1 species
GUGUCAGCCGCCGCGGUAAUACGGAGGAUCCAAGCGUUAUCCGGAUUUAUUGGGUUUAAAGGGUGCGUAGGCGGACCUUUAAGUCAGUGGUGAAAGUUUGCGGCUCAACCGUAAAAUUGCCAUUGAAACUGAAGGUCUUGAGUGUAAAUAAGGUAGGCGGAAUGUGUUGUGUAGCGGUGAAAUGCUUAGAUAUAACACAGAACACCAAUUGCGAAGGCAGCUUACUGGGAUACAACUGACGCUGAGGCACGAAAGCGUGGGGAUCAAACAGGAUUAGAAACCCCAGUAGUCC